CCUUACCUUCUCUUGACAUCCAGAGAACUUUCCAGAGAUGGAUUGGUGCCUUCGGGAACUCUGAGACAGGUGCUGCAUGGCUGUCGUCAGCUCGUGUUGUGAAAUGUUGGGUUAAGUCCCGCAACGAGCGCAACCCUUAUCCUUGUUUGCCAGCGAGUCAUGUCGGGAACUCCAGGGAGACUGCCGGUGAUAAACCGGAGGAAGGUGGGGACGACGUCAAGUCAUCAUGGCCCUUACGAGUAGGGCUACACACGUGCUACAAUGGCGCAUACAGAGGGCGGCCAACUUGCGAAAGUGAGCGAAUCCCAAAAAGUGCGUCGUAGUCCGGAUUGGAGUCUGCAACUCGACUCCAUGAAGUCGGA
rnacentral:rRNA from 1 species